GAUGAAGAACGUAGCGAAAUGCGAUAAGUAGUGUGAAUUGCAGAAUUCAGUGAAUCAUCGAAUCUUUGAACGCACAUUGCGCCCCUUGGUAUUCCAUGGGGCAUGCCUGUUCGAGCGUCAUCUGUACCCUCAAGCUUUGCUUGGUGUUGGGUGUUUGUCCCGCGUUGCGCGUGGACUCGCCUUAAAGCGAUUGGCAGCCGGCAUAUUGGCCUUGGAGCGCAGCACAUUUUGCGCUUCUAGUCAUAAAUGUUGGCGUCCAUUAAGCCUAUACAUUUGCUCUUGACCUCGGAUCAGGUAGGGAUACCCGCUGAACUUAAGCAUAUCAAUAAGCGGAGGA
rnacentral:misc_RNA from 1 species